CACGUAGGGGACGAGCGUUGUCCGGAUUCAUUGGGCGUAAAGCGCGUGUAGGCGGCCGCGUAAGUCGGGCGUGAAAUCCCACAGCUCAACUGUGGAAGUGCACUCGAAACUGUGUGGCUAGAGUCCUGGAGAGGAAGGUGGAAUACUUGGUGUAGAGGUGAAAUUCGUAGAUAUCAAGUGGAACACCGGUGGCGAAGGCGGCCUUCUGGACAGUGACUGACGCUGAGACGCGAAAGCGUGGGGAGCAAACAGG
rnacentral:rRNA from 1 species